GACGAACGCUGGCGGCGUGCUUAACACAUGCAAGUCGAACGGAAAGGCCCUGCUUUUGUGGGGUGCUCGAGUGGCGAACGGGUGAGUAACACGUGAGUAACCUGCCCUUGACUUUGGGAUAACUUCAGGAAACUGGGGCUAACGCCGGAUAGGAGCUCCUGCUGCAUGGUGGGGGUUGGAAAGUUUCGGCGGUUGGGGAUGGACUCGCGGCUUAUCAGCUUGUUGGUGGGGUAGUGGCUUACCAAGGCUUUGACGGGUAGCCGGCCUGAGAGGGUGACCGGCCACAUUGGGACUGAGAUACGGCCCAGACUCCUACGGGAGGCAGCAGUGGGGAAUAUUGCACAAUGGGCGGAAGCCUGAUGCAGCAACGCCGCGUGCGGGAUGACGGCCUUCGGGUUGUAAACCGCUUUCGCCUGUGACGAAGCGUGAGUGACGGUAAUGGGUAAAGAAGCACCGGCUAACUACGUG
rnacentral:rRNA from 1 species